rnacentral:rRNA from 1 species
UGGAAACUNUCUGACUUGAGUGCAGAAGGGGAGAGUGGAAUUCCAUGUGUAGCGGUGAAAUGCGUAGAUAUAUGGAGGAACACCAGUGGCGAAAGCGGCUCUCUGGUCUGUCACUGACGCUGAGGCUCGAAAGCGUGGGUAGCGAACAGGAUUAGAUACCCUGGUAGUCCACGCCGUAAACGAAGAGUGCUAGGUGUUAGGCCCUUUCCGGGGCUUAGUGCCGGAGCUAACGCAAUAAGCACUCCGCCUGGGGAGUACGACCGCAAGGUUGAAACUCAAAGGAAUUGACGGCGGCCCGCACAAGCGGUGGAGCAUGUGGUUUAAUUCGAAGCAACGCGAAGAACCUUACCAGGUCUUGACAUCCCGAUGCUAUUCUUAGAGAUAGGAAGUUACUUCGGUACAUCGGAGACAGGUGGUGCAUGGUUGUCGUCAGCUCGUGUCGUGAGAUGUUGGGUUAAGUCCCGCAACGAGCGCAACCCUUAUUGUUAGUUGCCAUCAUUAAGUUGGGCACUCUAGCGAGACUGCCGGUAAUAAACCGGAGGAAGGUGGGGAUGACGUCAAAUCAUCAUGCCCCUUAUGACCUGGGCUACACACGUGCUACAAUGGUCGGUACAACGAGUUGCGAGCCGGUGACGGCAAGCUAAUCUCUGAAAGCCGAUCUCAGUUCGGAUUGGAGGCUGCAACUCGCCUCCAUGAAGUCGGAAUCGCUAGUAAUCGCGGAUCAGCACGCCGCGGUGAAUACGUUCCCGGGCCUUGUACACACCGCCCGUCACACCACGAGAGUUUGUAACACCCAAAGUCGGUGAGGUAACCA